rnacentral:rRNA from 1 species
GAUGAACGCUAGCUACAGGCUUAACACAUGCAAGUCGAGGGGCAGCAUGAAGGAAGCUUGCUUCCUUUGAUGGCGACCGGCGCACGGGUGAGUAACGCGUAUCCAACCUUCCCUUAACUUGGGAAUAGCCCGGUGAAAACCGGAUUAAUGCCCGAUGUGGUCCAGCGAGGGCAUCUGACCCGGACCAAAGAAUUUGUCGGUUAAGGAUGGGGAUGCGUCUGAUUAGCUUGUUGGCGGGGUAACGGCCCACCAAGGCUACGAUCGGUAGCCGGUCUGAGAGGAUGAACGGCCACAUUGGGACUGAGACACGGCCCAGACUCC